UUUGAUCAUGGCUCAGAUUGAACGCUGGCGGCAGGCCUAACACAUGCAAGUCGAGCGGCAGCACAGAGAAACUUGUUUCUCGGGUGGCGAGCGGCGGACGGGUGAGUAAUGCCUGGGAAAUUGCCCUGAUGUGGGGGAUAACCAUUGGAAACGAUGGCUAAUACCGCAUGAUAGCUUCGGCUCAAAGAGGGGGACCUUCGGGCCUCUCGCGUCAGGAUAUGCCCAGGUGGGAUUAGCUAGUUGGUGAGGUAAGGGCUCACCAAGGCGACGAUCCCUAGCUGGUCUGAGAGGAUGAUCAGCCACACUGGAACUGAGACACGGUCCAGACUCCUACGGGAGGCAGCAGUGGGGAAUAUUGCACAAUGGGCGCAAGCCUGAUGCAGCCAUGCCGCGUGUGUGAAGAAGGCCUUCGGGUUGUAAAGCACUUUCAGUCGUGAG
rnacentral:rRNA from 1 species